rnacentral:rRNA from 1 species
GACGAACGCUGGCGGCGUGCUUAACACAUGCAAGUCGAACGAAGAGCGAUGGAAGCUUGCUUCUAUCAAUCUUAGUGGCGAACGGGUGAGUAACGCGUAAUCAACCUGCCCUUCAGAGGGGGACAACAGUUGGAAACGACUGCUAAUACCGCAUACGAUCCAAUCUCGGCAUCGAGACUGGAUGAAAGGUGGCCUCUAUUUAUAAGCUAUCACUGAAGGAGGGGAUUGCGUCUGAUUAGCUAGUUGGAGGGGUAACGGCCCACCAAGGCGAUGAUCAGUAGCCGGUCUGAGAGGAUGAACGGCCACAUUGGGACUGAGACACGGCCCAGACUCCUACGGGAGGCAGCAGUGGGGAAUCUUCCGCAAUGGACGAAAGUCUGACGGAGCAACGCCGCGUGAGUGAUGACGGCCUUCGGGUUGUAAAGCUCUGUUAAUCGGGACGAAUGGUUCUUGUGCAAAUAGUGCGAGGAUUUGACGGUACCGGAAUAG